CGGUUGAUCCUGCCGGAGGUCACUGCUAUCGGGGUCCGAUUAAGCCAUGCGGGUCGAGAGGGUUAAGACCCUCGGCGGACUGCUCAGUAACACGUGGAUAACCUGACCUGUGGUGGAGGAUAACCCCGGGAAACUGGGGAUAAUACUCCAUAAGUUACGAAAUCUGGAAUGAUUUGUAGCUGAAAGUUCCGGCGCCACAGGAUGGAUCUGCGGCCGAUUAGGUAGUAGUUGGGGUAGAGGCCCAACUAGCCUGUAAUCGGUACGGGUUGUGGGAGCAAGAGCCCGGAGAUGGAAUCUGAGACACGAUUCCAGGCCCUACGGGACGCAGCAGGCGCGAAAACUUUACAAUGCAGGAAACUGUGAUAAGGGGACCCCGAGUGCCCGUACACGCGGGCUGUCUGGGUGUUUAAAAAGCACCCAAAGAAAGGGCCGGGCAAGGCCGGUGCCAGCCGCCGCGGUAAUACCGGCGGCUCGAGUGGUGACCACUUUUAUUGGGCUUAAAGCGUUCGUAGCUGGACUGUUAAGUCUCUUGGGAAAUCCGCCGGCUCAGCCGGCGGGCGUCUAAGGGAUACUGGCAGUCUAGGAACCGGGAGAGGUAAGAGGUACUCCGGGGGUAGGAGUGAAAUCCUGUAAUCCCCGGGGGACCACCUGUGGCGAANGCGUCUUACCAGAACGGCUUCGACAGUGAGGAACGAAAGCUGGGGGAGCGAACCGGAUUAGAUACCCGGGUAGUCCCAGCCGUAAACGAUGCGCGUUNNNGUACCGGCGACCACGAGUUGCCGNANUGCCGAAGGNAACCGUGAAACGUGCCGCCUGGGAAGUACGGUCGCAAGGNUGAAACUUAAAGGNNUGGCGGGGGGAGCNCAAGGGNGAAUNNUG
rnacentral:rRNA from 1 species